rnacentral:rRNA from 1 species
GGGCUAGCGUUAUCCGGAAUUACUGGGCGUAAAGGGUGCGUAGGCGGUCUUUCAAGUCAGAAGUGAAAGGCUACGGCUCAACCGUAGUAAGCUUUUGAAACUGUAAGACUUGAGUGCAGGAGAGGAGAGUGGAAUUCCUAGUGUAGCGGUGAAAUGCGUAGAUAUUAGGAGGAACACCAGUUGCGAAGGCGGCUCUCUGGACUGUAACGGACGCUGAGGCACGAGAGCGUGGGGAGCAAACA